UACGGAGGAUGCGAGCGUUAUCCGGAUUUAUUGGGUUUAAAGGGUGCGUAGGCGGACUGUCAAGUCAGCGGUAAAAUGUCGGGGCUCAACCCCGGCCGGCCGUUGAAACUGGCGUGCUCGAGUUGGAGAGAAGUAUGCGGAAUUCGUGGUGUAGCGGUGAAAUGCAUAGAUAUCACGAAGAACCCCGAUUGCGAAGGCAGCAUACCGGCUCCACACUGACGCUGAGGCUCGAAAGCGUGGGUAUCGAACAGG
rnacentral:rRNA from 1 species